GACGAACGCUGGCGGCGUGCUUAACACAUGCAAGUCGAACGGAAAGGCCCUGCUUUUGUGGGGUGCUCGAGUGGCGAACGGGUGAGUAACACGUGAGUAACCUGCCCUUGACUUUGGGAUAACUUCAGGAAACUGGGGCUAAUACCGGAUAGGAGCUCCUGCUGCAUGGUGUGGGUUGGAAAGUUUCGGCGGUUGGGGAUGGACUCGCGGCUUAUCAGCUUGUUGGUUGGGUAGUGGCUUACCAAGGCUUUGACGGGUAGCCGGCCUGAGCGGGUGACCGGGCACAUUGGGACUGAGAUACGGCCCAGACUCCUACGGGAGGCAGCAGUGGGGAAUAUUGCACAAUGGGCGGAAGCCUGAUGCAGCAACGCCGCGUGCGAGAUGACGGCCUUCGGGUUGUAAACCGCUUUCGCAUGUGACGAAGCGUGAGUGACGGUAAUGGGUAAAGAAGCACCGGCUAACUACGUG
rnacentral:rRNA from 1 species